rnacentral:rRNA from 1 species
GACGAACGCUGGCGGCGCGCUUAACACAUGCAAGUCGAACGGAAAGGCCUGCUUUCCCUUGUGGAUUGCGGGUACUCGGGUGGCGAACGGGUGAGUAACACGUGAGUGAUCUGCCCCCAACUUGGGUAUAAGCCUGGGAAACUGGGUCUAAUUCCCGAUAGGACGGCAGGGUGGUGCCUGUGGUGGAAAACGAUAUGCUAGUGGGUGGGGAUGAGCUCGCGGCGUAUCAGCUUGUUGGUGGGGUAAUGCUCUACCAAGGCCGGGACGGGGAGCCGGACUGUGAUGAGGGACGGCGACACUGGGACUCGGUCCCGGCCCAGACGCGUAGGGGAGGCAGGAGUGGGGAAUAUUGGACAGUGGGCGGGAGCCUGCCGCAGCGAGGGCGUGUGGGAGAUGACGGCCUUCGGGUUGUCAUCUACUUGCGACCGAGAGGAAGCCACCUGGUUGGUAGGGUGGUGACGUUAGUGGUAGAAGAAGCACCGGCUAACUACGUG